rnacentral:rRNA from 1 species
AUUGAACGCUGGCGGCAGGCCUAACACAUGCAAGUCGAGCGGACGGCGGACGGGUGAGUAAUGUAUGGGGACUGCCCGAUAGAGGGGGAUAACUACUGGAAACGGUGGCUAAUACCGCUUACUAUCCGAUAACCCAUAUGGGAUUAGCGAGUAGGUGUGGUAAAGGCUCACCUAGGCGACGAUCUCUAGCUGGCCUGAGAGGAUGAUCAGCCACACUGGGACUGAGACACGGCCCAGACUCCUACGGAGGCAGCAGUGGGGAAUAUUACGCAAUGGGCGAAAGUCUGACGCAGCCAUGCCGCGUGUAUGAAGAAGGUCUUAGGGUUGUAAAGUACUUUCAGCGGGGAGGCGGUAUCUGCCGAAGAAGCAACGGCUAACUCCGUGCCAGCCGCCGCGGUAAUUC